ensembl:Y_RNA Y_RNA Y RNA
GGCUGGUCUGAGUGCAGUGGUGUUUGCAGCUAAUGAUCACAACCAGUUAGAGAUUUCUUUGUUCCUUCUCCACUCCCACUGCUUCACUUGACUAGCCUAAA